UACGGAGGGGACUAGCGUUGUUCGGAAUUACUGGGCGUAAAGCGCGCGUAGGCGGGCUGGUCAGUUGGGGGUGAAAUCCCGAGGCUUAACCUCGGAACUGCCUUCAAUACUGCCAGUCUUAGUUCGGAAGAGGUGAGUGGAAUUCCUAGUGUAGAGGUGAAAUUCAUAGAUAUUAGGAAGAACACCAGUGGCGAAAGGCGGACUCACUGGCUCGAUACGUGACGCUGAGGUGCGAAAGUGUGGGGAGCAAACAGGAUUAGAGUACCCCGGUAGUCC
rnacentral:rRNA from 1 species